rnacentral:rRNA from 1 species
UCCCAAGGGUUCGGCUGUUCGCCGAUUAAAGUGGUACGUGAGUUGGGUUCAGAACGUCGUGAGACAGUUCGGUCCCUAUCUGCCGUGGGUGUACGAGACUUGAGACGAUCUGUCCUUAGUACGAGAGGACCGGGAUGGACGCACCACUGGUGGACCUGUUGUCGUGCCAACGGCAGUGCAGGGUAGCUAUGUGCGGACGGGAUAACCGCUGAAGGCAUCUAAGCGGGAAACCCACGUCAAAACAAGGUCUCGCUAAAUAGAGCCGUGGAAGACGACCACGUUGAUAGGCCGGGUGUGUAAGGGCAGUAAUGUCUUCAGCUGACCGGUACUAAUCGCUCGAUCGGCUUCAUCAC